CAGAAGAAAGUCAGUCCCGAGGCAGCAAAAUGGGGCCGCAACGGGGGGGCUGCAGGAUGAGGGGUGCGUUGAGGUUGGCUUUGGAGCAGGGGAGUGGAGGGAAGCAGCUCAGGCAGUGACAGCAGUUCAAGGCACAGGAGUGGAAUGUGAUCGUGUUUCUGAUCUAUACAAUGGAACCGACUCCUGGACAAAAGCAUCAGAGUGCUACUUUGAACACUGCAGAAUUUAGACACGUAGCAAGGAAAGUCAGGAAGAAAUAACUCACAGGCUGUCCAGG